rnacentral:rRNA from 1 species
CACGUAGGCGGAUUGUUAAGUCGGGGGUGAAAUCCCGGGGCUCAACCCCGGAACUGCCUUCGAUACUGGCGAUCUCGAGUCCGGAAGAGGUUAGUGGAAUUCCCAGUGUAGAGGUGAAAUUCGUAGAUAUUGGGGAGAACACCAGUGGCGAAGGCGGCUAACUGGUCCGGUACUGACGCUGAGGUGCGAAAGCGUGGGGAGCAAACA